UGACGAAGAUCCGCAUGGGGGUACGAACACUUCAGCGGCUUCUAAUUAAAGCCCCGCUCGGAGCCCUCGGGGACCCGCCUGACGUCGGCGGGCGCGGGGAUAAGAAGGGCCCCGAGGUCCGAGGCGGGAGUCGGAGCCGGCGCACCCCAGGGCGGCCGCGGGUCCAGCGCUCGGAGCGGCCGAGUCCCCGCGUCCCCGCGUCCCGUGCGCUCCGCCCGCCGGGCAUGGAGUAGUGGCGCAGCUCGGGGCGCGGGGACAGACGUGCGCACAGACGGCGGCGACUCCGGCGGCUCCAGAGGCUGCAGCGAGCCCAGCUCCCGGCGCGUGUCGGAGUCUCCCAGCCCCGCGGCCCCGAGCGCACGAUGCGCGGACCCGGGCGCCCCCUCCUCCUGGGGCUGCUGCUGGUGCUGGGGGCGGCGGGGCGCGGCCGGGGGGGCGCGGAGCCCCGGGAGCCGGCGGACGGGCAGGCGCUGCUGCGGCUGGUGGUGGAGCUCGUCCAGGAGCUGCGGAAGCACCACUCGGCGGAGCACAAGGGCCUGCAGCUCCUCGGGCGGGACUGCGCCCUGGGCCGCGCGGAGGCGGCGGGGCUGGGGCCUUCGCCGGAGCAGCGAGUGGAAAUUGUUCCUCGAGAUCUGAGGAUGAAGGACAAGUUUCUAAAACACCUUACAGGCCCUCUUUAUUUUAGUCCAAAGUGCAGCAAACACUUCCAUAGACUUUAUCACAACACCAGAGACUGCACCAUUCCUGCAUCCCAUAAAGAACUGGAGAGCUGAAGUUGGACCACUUCUUUACUGCGUUAGGCCAUAUAAAAGAAAGUCCUUGGGAUCCUGGAAUAUCAGACCUGAAGGAACUUAGUGCCUCCUCAAAGUGUGGUCCUAUGGGGAGCUUGCUGGGAAUGCAGAAACUAUAAAAGAUGCGCCAGGCUUCUUACCCGGCUGGCUGUCAGUCCAGUGUGCAUGGAGGAUAAGCAGUGAGCAGACUGUACAGGAGCAGCACACCAGGAGCCAUGAGAAGUGCCUUGGAAACCAACAGGGAAACAGAACUAUCUUUAUACACAUCCCCUCAUGGACAAGAGAUUUAUUUUUGCAGACAGACUCUUCAAUAAGUCCUUUGAGUUUUGUAUGUUGUUGACAGUGUUUGCAGAUACAUAUUCGAUAAAUCAGUGUAUUGACAGUGAUAUCUGUCACUCUUAUUUUAAAAACAACCACAAAAGGAAUGCUCCACGUUUGAUGUGUAGUGCUAUAAAACACAGAGAAUAUUUCGUUUUCUUGAUUAGCUGAAAUCACAAAAAAUGUUUCUUUAGAAACAUAAGCAGAAUCUUAAAGUAUAUUUUCAUAUAACAUAAUUUAAUAUUCCGUAUUACUUUCACUGUUAAAUUCUCAGAGUAUUAUUUGGAAUGGCAUGAAAAAUUAAAAUUUUGGUCAUGUUUUAGGAACAGUGGAGUGUAAAUCUGUGGCUAAUUCUGUUGGUCCUUUGUAUAAUAAAUGUAAAAUAGUAUUCCAGCUAUUGUGCAAUAUGUAAAUACUGUAAAUAAACACAAGUAAUAAAUGAAGUGUUUGUUAUAAUGAAUAGUCUUCAAAGUGACUCUCUACCUCUCUAACAGGUUCACUGUUGGGAAUUCCUGUCUUCAGAUUUACUGAGACCAUGACACUGGCAAAAGGUCACA